rnacentral:rRNA from 1 species
AGAGUUUGAUCAUGGCUCAGAUUGAACGCUGGCGGCAGGCCUAACACAUGCAAGUCGAACGGUAACAGGAAGCAGCUUGCUGCUUUGCUGACGAGUGGCGGACGGGUGAGUAAUGUCUGGGAAACUGCCUGAUGGAGGGGGAUAACUACUGGAAACGGUGGCUAAUACCGCAUAACGUCGCAAGACCAAAGAGGGGGACCUUCGGGCCUCUUGCCAUCAGAUGUGCCCAGAUGGGAUUAGCUUGUUGGUGAGGUAACGGCUCACCAAGGCGACGAUCCCUAGCUGGUCUGAGAGGAUGACCAGCCACACUGGAACUGAGACACGGUCCAGACUCCUACGGGAGGCAGCAGUGGGGAAUAUUGCACAAUGGGCGCAAGCCUGAUGCAGCCAUGCCGCGUGUAUGAAGAAGGCCUUCGGGUUGUAAAGUACUUUCAGCGGGGAGGAAGGUGUUGCGGUUAAUAACCGCAGCAAUUGACGUUACCCGCAGAAGAAGCACCGGCUAACUCCGUGCCAGCAGCCGCGGUAAUACGGAGGGUGCAAGCGUUAAUCGGAAUUACUGGGCGUAAAGCGCACGCAGGCGGUCUGUCAAGUCGGAUGUGAAAUCCCCGGGCUCAACCUGGGAACUGCAUUCGAAACUGGCAGGCUUGAGUCUUGUAGAGGGGGGUAGAAUUCCAGGUGUAGCGGUGAAAUGCGUAGAGAUCUGGAGGAAUACCGGUGGCGAAGGCGGCCCCCUGGACAAAGACUGACGCUCAGGUGCGAAAGCGUGGGGAGCAAACAGGAUUAGAUACCCUGGUAGUCCACGCCGUAAACGAUGUCUACUUGGAGGUUGUGCCCUUGAGGCGUGGCUUCCGGAGCUAACGCGUUAAGUAGACCGCCUGGGGAGUACGGCCGCAAGGUUAAAACUCAAAUGAAUUGACGGGGGCCCGCACAAGCGGUGGAGCAUGUGGUUUAAUUCGAUGCAACGCGAAGAACCUUACCUGGUCUUGACAUCCACAGAACUUUCCAGAGAUGGAUUGGUGCCUUCGGGAACUGUGAGACAGGUGCUGCAUGGCUGUCGUCAGCUCGUGUUGUGAAAUGUUGGGUUAAGUCCCGCAACGAGCGCAACCCUUAUCCUUUGUUGCCAGCGGUUAGGCCGGGAACUCAAAGGAGACUGCCAGUGAUAAACUGGAGGAAGGUGGGGAUGACGUCAAGUCAUCAUGGCCCUUACGACCAGGGCUACACACGUGCUACAAUGGCGCAUACAAAGAGAAGCGACCUCGCGAGAGCAAGCGGACCUCAUAAAGUGCGUCGUAGUCCGGAUUGGAGUCUGCAACUCGACUCCAUGAAGUCGGAAUCGCUAGUAAUCGUGGAUCAGAAUGCCACGGUGAAUACGUUCCCGGGCCUUGUACACACCGCCCGUCACACCAUGGGAGUGGGUUGCAAAAGAAGUAGGUAGCUUAACCUUCGGGAGGGCGCUUACCACUUUGUGAUUCAUGACUGGGGUGAAGUCGUAACAAGGUAACCGUAGGGGAACCUGCGGUUGGAUCACCU